rnacentral:rRNA from 1 species
AAAGCGUGCGCAGGCGGUUAUAUAAGACAGAUGUGAAAUCCCCGGGCUCAACCUGGGAAUUGCAUUGGAGACUGCAAGGCUAGAAUCUGGCAGAGGGGGGUAGAAUUCCACGUGUAGCAGUGAAAUGCGUAGAUAUGUGGAGGAACACCGAUGGCGAAGGCAGCCCCCUGGGUCAAGAUUGACGCUCAUGCACGAAAGCGUGGGGAGCAAACAGGAUUAGAUACCCCAGU